UGGAAGACUUUAUAGUCCUGAGAGUUGAACACUGGAUGACUGACAGCUGUCCUUCAUCACAACAGAAGACACAGAAAUCCUCCUCAUCAAAAACAUGACGUUGAUCUCCGUCCUCAUCUGGACUCUCCUCUGCUUCACUCAGGGGUCUGUUGGACAAAACGUUGUCUUGACUCAGUCAGCAGCUAAAUCAGUGCAGCUGGGUCAAACUGUGUCUAUUGACUGUAAGGCCAGUACACAAGCUACUGUCUACUUUGGUUCAUAUUACUACCUGGCCUGGUACCAUCAGAAAACUGGAGAAGCUCCUAAACUUCUGAUCUACAGAACAUCAAGCAGAUUAUCAGGAAUCUCCUCCAGAUUCAGUGGAAGUGGAGCAGGAAAUGGAGUUGACUUCACUCUGACCAUCAGUGGAGUCCAGGCGGAAGAUGCAGCAGUUUACUACUGUCAGAGUUAUCACUAUAUCAACAGUCAAGCUGUGUUCACACAGUGAAAAAGCGUCGUACAAAAACCUCCCUCAGUCAGACUGAACGGAAACUGAACUGCAGCUGGAAGCUGCUGCAGAGA